AAACAAAAGGAAAAUGAAGGAAAUGCUCUUUAGUAGAAUGGGAAAGGUCUCUCUCCCCGUUUGCAGGGCUCACUGACCACAAGGAUCAACGCAAAGACAACCAGGGCACUGAAAAGUGAAGGGAGAGCAAGGCUGAACACUGAGGGGCUGACCCCUGAUUGGAGUGGCUUGAGAAGUGGCAGGGGGAACAGGGCACUGGAAUGAGAGAGGGCUGGAGCGAGGGUCAGCAGGGCGCGCGAGAAGAGGAAUGGAGGGUCAGCAGUGGCUUCAGUGGAAGCAGUGGAAACUCGAAUCUAGGACUGGUAUGGUGGCUCCUCAGCCAUCUGGUACUCGGCCUCUUCCUCAUCCUUCUAUCAUAUUGGCCUGUGGCUUCCACCAUCAAGGUCACAAAUUCCCGGAUGGCUACUGGAGCUCCAGUCAUCAAGAUGAUAUUCAACCAGAGGAAGGGAGAUGGAAGGCAGGCCAAACCAAGCACACCUUUCAAGUGGAGUCAACUUCUUUUAAGCAGCCUACUUGAACAUUGCAUACAUUUCUGUUUACAUCUCGUUGGCUGGAACCUAGCUCUCCAAGGGAGGCUGAGAAAUUGUCUUCUAGUUGUAUACAUUGUCAUCUCAAAUAAAAUUAGGAUUGUAAUAAAGGGAAAAGAAUAAAGUGGAGGUUGAGUAGGCAACUA